AGUUUGAUCCUGGCUCAGGAUGAACGCUAGCGGCAGGCUUAACACAUGCAAGUCGAGGGGUAGAGGAAGCUUGCUUCCUUGAGACCGGCGCACGGGUGCGUAACGCGUAUGCAAUCUACCUUAUACAGGGGGAUAGCCCAGAGAAAUUUGGAUUAAUACCCCAUAGUAUAAUUGAAUGGCAUCAUUUAAUUAUUAAAGUUCCAACGGUAUAAGAUGAGCAUGCGUCCCAUUAGCUAGUUGGUGUGGUAACGGCACACCAAGGCGACGAUGGGUAGGGGUCCUGAGAGGGAGAUCCCCCACACUGGUACUGAGACACGGACCAGACUCCUACGGGAGGCAGCAGUGAGGAAUAUUGGUCAAUGGGCGCAAGCCUGAACCAGCCAUGCCGCGUGCAGGAUGACGGUCCUAUGGAUUGUAAACUGCUUUUGUACAGGAAGAAACACUCCCUCGUGAGGGAGCUUGACGGUACUGUAAGAAUAAGGAUCGGCUAACUCCGUG
rnacentral:rRNA from 1 species